rnacentral:rRNA from 1 species
UUGAGACAACGUACAAACCUUAUCGAUAAACAAUUGGAGGGCAAGUCUGGUGCCAGCAGCCGCGGUAAUUCCAGCUCCAAUAGCGUAUAUUAACGUUGUUGCAGUUAAAAAGCUCGUAGUUGAAAUGAAGGGUAGUUGUGUAAUGAAUACAUUCGUGUAUUUUGUUAUUCAAGUAUCCUCCUUCUAAAUUCGAUAUAUGAGUAUUAAUUUACUUGUAUAUGGUUUUAGACCUUUACUGUGAGAAAAUUAGAGUGUUCAAAGCAGGCAUUUGCUUGAAUAUAUUAGCAUGGAAUAAUCAUGUAUGAUUUUCAUGAUGUAUUUGAUUGGUUUGGUUGAUGAGAAUAAGAUUAAAAGGGACAGUUGGGGGUAUUCAUAUUCAAUAGUCAGAGGUGAAAUUCUCGGAUUUAUGGAAGAUGAACAAGUGCGAAAGCAUUUACCAAGGAUGUUUUCAUUAAUCAAGAACGAAAGUUAGGGGAUCGAAGAGGAU